rnacentral:rRNA from 1 species
UGAGGAAUCUUCCACAAUGGACGAAAGUCUGAUGGAGCAAUACCGCGUGCAGGAAGACGGCUUUCGGGUUGUAAACUGCUUUUGUAUGGGAAAAUUAUGAUGGUACCAUGCGAAUAAGGACCGGCUAACUACGUGCCAGCAGCCGCGGUAAUACGUAGGGUCCAAGCGUUAUCCGGAAUUACUGGGCGUAAAGAGUAUGUAGGUGGAUGUUUAAGUGAGAUGCGAAAUCUUUCGGCUCAACCGGAAGACU